CUUCUCUCUCAAACUCUCUAGUGUAGCAAGAAAGCAACAAAUUUUUGGAAUUCAUUUUAUUCUUGGAUUUUCUUCUUAGAAGGAUAAACCGUUUGUUCGUUCUCUUGGAUUGUUCCAAUCUUUACUCGUACGUUCUUACAAGAAAUCGCAACGCAAUCAACGUUGAAGAUGAUGAUUGCUAUGAAAUGAAGUAGCGAUU